rnacentral:rRNA from 1 species
UAAUACGGAGGGUGCGAGCGUUGUUCGGAAUUAUUGGGCGUAAAGCGCGUGUAGGCGGUUUGUUAAGUCUGAUGUGAAAGCCCCGGGCUCAACCCGGGAAGUGCAUUGGAUACUGGCAGGCUUGAGUACGGGAGAGGGAAGUGGAAUUCCGAGUGUAGGAGUGAAAUCCGUAGAUAUUCGGAGGAACACCGGUGGCGAAGGCGGCUUCCUGGACCGAUACUGACGCUGAGACGCGAAAGCGUGGGGAGCAAACAGGAUUAGAUACCCUGGUAGUCCACGCCGUAAACGAUGGGUACUAGGUGUCGCGGGUAUUGACCCCUGCGGUGCCGAAGCUAACGCAUUAAGUACCCCGCCUGGGGAGUACGGCCGCAAGGCUA